CUCAGUUUGUUUUGGGAGGCCAAGGUCAAAGUGCAUCACAUGGUCUUCAAGCGGCCAAUGGGCGGCCAGAUUUCUCCACUUCCGCUAAAGCGUCUCUGGUUGCCAUAGGACCCCUAGACUCUUCCUCACCGAAACAGGAAGUGUUCGGAACAGGGCAGGCGUUUGCAAAUGUAAACACAAAGAUGAUUCUGUGAUGAGCUAGAGGAGACCGGCCGAGGACCAGUAUAUGUAGGAGGCAACCGUGGCCUGCAGGCUGUAUGGUGGCUUUGAGGACCUGAAACAAGCGUGGAGUGUAAUUCAAACAGUGCGGCGUAGAACAGUUGAAAUUAACACAUAAUCUUCAGGGUUCCCUAAUACCCAAGAUAUUGAAGGAUACAGAACACACAGGCACAUAGCAUCCCAGCUCUGCCCAUACACUGAAUAAUAAAGUGACACCGGAGAGAACGCCGUCCAACUAGAAUGUCAGAUGGAUCAUGUGCGACUAUGCUUCCAUGUAGGGCAAAUGUUGCCACACAGCGCCACCUACUGUCUGCUCUGCGUGUAGCAGAAAGGUUGGCAUCCAGUUCCUUCUGCUGGUAAUGUUGCAUACAAUAUGACCAUUUACUAUUCAUAAAUCCAAAAAAGCCCAUAGGGCUGGAUUAUUGAAAGAUAAAUAGUCUUAAACCCAGGUUUUUACG